GUCAUUGAUCAUGUUCGUUUGAAAAGUAUGGUUUUGGAAAAUCUAUUCUGCAAGAACGAAUUUUUCAAAAUGGAAGAGAUUUAAAAUGAGUAUAGUUAGAAGUUUUUUAAGUUUAACUUUCAAAUGAUGAGCAGUUCUCGAGCUUGUCAUGUUCUUCUGACGUACAACGUCCUCGAGGGGAUCAAUCAAGCCAAUAAUUUCCUGUGAAAGUAUUUACUGAAGGGAGACUAUCCCCAGCCUUACUCCGAUGUUCCAGCAUAUCAAGAUAUUUCUGAACCUACGAACAAGGAAAAAGGGUAUCCUAUUUUGAAACAGUAAAUUAGUUUUGACCAACAAGUUACAAAUUACUUGUACUAUUGCAUAACUGAACUAAUGAGAGGUAUGAAAUAGUGGUAUUAGGAAUCCUUACUCUGACAAGGACAUAUACUGUCACAGAUCCACAGAAUAUCUAUUAGGAGAGACUACACAGAAUAAGCUUCAACAAGUUUGAUCGAGAGAUGAACACGUGGGGACCUGAUAGAGAUUUACAAAAUACCACUUAGACGUUAUAGCAUUAGACUCAACCUCUUUGUUUUCAGUGAUAAUAAAUAUGUAGACACAGUAAUAAACUCGUGCAGGAAAAGUUCCAAAUGGUGUCGUCAACAUAUUUUCUGAAACACAAUGGAAUGAUCUUUCAAAACAAUGUAAUUUCAGCACCAUAUACUAUUACGUUUUAAAAGUCGAUAUGACAUGCAUAUACUCAAAAGUUAAACUGGUUAAGACAAUUCAUAAGAGCGCCUAUGAUGUACCAAUUUAUGGUUAUUCUGUAUGUAUCUUUUUUCUCAGUUUUUUUAAAAUGUAGUAUGUAAUGUACAAUGUGUAAACAUGAUGUAAUUCAAUCUGCUAGG